AGGACGAGAGUCGUAGCCGAUGGACAACAGGUGGAGAUUCCUGUACUAUGAUAUGACAGAACUGUGGGGACACGUGCAGAGAGCGGAAGCCGGGAAUGGGAUCCCGGUGCAAGCGAGGUACCAGUCACAUUGGAAAAACCGUGUGGCAAUGGGAAGACGUGAUGCGGAGUGAAGUUUAGUAAUGAAGUCCGUGAGCUGUGCGUCAAGAAAAGCCGCUAUUGUUCAUACCAUACCCGUACCGUAAACCGACACAGGUGGAUGAGGAGAGAAUCCUAAGGCCGGCGGAAGAAGCAUUGUCAAGGAACUCGGCAAAAUGACCCCGUAACUUCGGGAGAAGGGGUGCCUGCGAGAGCAGGCCGCAGAGAAUAGGCUCAAGCAACUGUUUAGCAAAAACACAGGUCUAUGCGAAACCGAAAGGUGAGGUAUAUGGGCUGACGCCUGCCCGGUGCUGGAAGGUUAAGAGGAGAGGUUAGCGGUAACGCGAAGCUUUGAAUUUAAGCCCCAGUAAACGGCGGCCGUAGCAAUAACGGUCCUAAGGUAGCGAAAUUCCUUGUCGGGUAAGUUCCGACCCGCACGAAAGGCGUAAUGAUUUGAGCGCUGUCUCGACAAUGCAUCCGGUGAAAUUGAAGUACCAGUGAAGAUGCUGGUUACCUGCGCCAGGACGGAAAGACCCCAUGGAGCUUUACUCCAGUUUGGUACUGGGAUCCGGUACUGCAUGUACAGGAUAGGUGGGAGGCUGAGAAUCGGUAACGCCAGUUGCCGAGGAGCCGCUGUUGGGAUACCACCCUUGCAGUAUUGGGUUUCUAACCAGCCGCCGUGACCCGGCGGUGGGACAAUGCCAGACGGGGAGUUUGACUGGGGCGGUCGCCUCCGAAAGGGUAUCGGAGGCGCCCAAAGGUUCCCUCAGGAUGGACGGAAACCAUCCAAAGAGUGCAAAGGCAGAAGGGAGCUUGACUGCGACACCGACGGGUGGAGCAGGUACGAAAGUAGGGCUUAGUGAUCCGGUGGUAUUAAGUGGGAAUGCCAUCGCUCAACGGAUAAAAGCUACCCUGGAUAACAGGCUUAUCACUCCCAAGAGUUCACAUCGACGGAGUGGUUUGGCACCUCGAUGUCGGCUCAUCGCAUCCUGGGGCUGUAGUAGGUCCCAAGGGUUGGGCUUUCGCCCAUUAAAGCGGCACGCGAGCUGGGUUCAGAACGUCGUGAGACAGUUCGGUCCCUAUCCGGCGUGGGCGUAGGAUAUCUGAGAGGAGCUGUCCUUAGUACGAGAGGACCGGGAUGGACGGGCCGCUGGUGCACCGGUUAGACUGCCAAGUCUAUAGCCGGGUAGCCAAGCCCGGAAGGGAUAAACGCUGAAGGCAUCUAAGCGUGAAGCCCCCCUCAAGAUGAGAUAUCCCAUCCGAAAGGAGUAAACCCCCUUGAAGACGACGAGGUCGAUAGGGCAGAGGUGGAAGUGUGGUAACACAUGGAGCUGACUGCUACUAAUAGGGUGAGGGCUUGACUAA
rnacentral:rRNA from 1 species